rnacentral:misc_RNA from 1 species
UACGGGGAGUGCAAGCGUUGUUCGGAAUCAUUGGGCGUAAAGCGCGCGUAGGCGGCCUGAUAAGUCUGGAGUGAAAGCCCUCGGCCUAACCGAGGAUGUGCUUCGGAUACUGUUAGGCUUGAGUCCCGGAGGGGCAAGUGGAAUUCCCAGUGUAGAGGUGAAAUUCGUAGAUAUUGGGAGGAACACCAGUGGCGAAGGCGGCUUGCUGGACGAGGACUGACGCUGAGGCGCGAAAGUGUGGGGAGCAAACAGG